ACUAUAAUGAAAAAUAAACACGUGUUACUCAUGUGUCAUUCUUUACCCCGCUAAUCUAAAAUUUUCAUCCUAAACUUAUUCUAAAAUCCCGCUUUACUCGCUCCCACUUCCCACGAAUCCCCUAAUUAAACAGUUGACAAGAUUAUCAAUGGCCUUCUAAAGAGGAGAGAGAGAACAGAAACAACAAUGGCGUGACAAACUAGAUCUGUCUUCCUCAACGCUACCCGGUCUCCAUCUAUCCAACCUUCCACACUGUUCUUCGUUGCUGCUCCCAAAUUCGUCUGUAAUUCUCACCGCCUUUCUUUCACGAACCCUAUGUACCAAUUCAUCCUCUUUAUUUUCCAUUCACUUACUUCCUCCCUAAAAUUCCAAUUACACUCCUACAAAUAUUAAUAUGUAUGAAUGCUACUAUUGUGCAUGAGGCUUGAUGUAUUGGAUACGCUCAAUCUGUCUCCCUUUCUCCUCCAAAACCCAGCUUCCCUCGGAGGUAUCGUUGCUCACACUUCAUCUUUGCUUCCUCCAUGUGUUGUGGGUUCCAGAUUCACCAAUUCUAUGGUUCGUUGGAUAAAUUCGCUCAAAUUUCAUACCAAGAAAUUUGUAGGAAGUGCAGCCUUUUGCAAUUAGGGACCUUACCAAUCCCUACUUGAGCCUUUUUAGAAGAUCAUGCCUCCUGCUUUCCUUACCAUGGAUGGUAGCCCUCUUUUAAUUUUCACCGUUCUCGGCACUUUCAUGUAGAUUCUCGGUACCUGCAAGGUUUGAUGAUGGUGAUGAUUGAUAGAGAAGAAUUGUUAGGCAGUUUUCAUGAAUAAGAUUAUUGAUGAUUCAAGUGGUAAUGGUAUAUGUAGAUCAAGAUCAACAAGUUAUCUUGAAGCUAAGCUAGCAUAGCAAUAGUUUUACUUGGUAAUUAGUUUGUACGUAGUUAGAAAAGUAGUUUUUAUUAGUUUUGGACUAUCUUGUAGAAAAAAUGAUGUUAGGAAGUUGUUUUUAUUUUAACAUAUUCCUUUUAUUUCAGUUAACUAGACUCUGGAAAUUAAUUUAAUGUAUGGAUUAUUUAUAUUGUUAUACAUCACUUUUUCUAGAUUAAUCAAAGCACGACGUUACGGUGUU